UCUGGCGACCGGCGCACGGGUGAGUGACACGUAUCCAACCUGCCCUUUACUCGGGGAUAGCCUUUCGAAAGAAAGAUUAAUACCCGAUAGCAUAAUGAUUCCGCAUGGUUUCAUUAUUAAAGGAUUCCGGUAAAGGAUGGGGAUGCGUUCCAUUAGGUUGUUGGUGAGGUGACGGCUCACCAAGCCUUCGAUGGAUAGGGGUUCUGAGAGGAAGGUCCCCCACAUUGGAACUGAGACACGGUCCAA
rnacentral:rRNA from 1 species